rnacentral:rRNA from 1 species
UACGGAGGGGGCAAGCGUUGUUCGGAAUUACUGGGCGUAAAGGGCGCGUAGGCGGGUAUCCAAGUCAGAGGUGAAAGCCCUGGGCUCAACCCAGGAACUGCCUUUGAAACUGGAUGUCUUGAGUGCGGGAGAGGAUGGCGGAAUUCCCAGUGUAGAGGUGAAAUUCGUAGAUAUUGGGAAGAACACCGGUGGCGAAGGCGGCCAUCUGGACCGUAACUGACGCUGAGGCGCGAAAGCGUGGGGAGCAAAC